rnacentral:rRNA from 1 species
CAGCCGUAAACUAUGCUCGCUAGGUGUCAGGCAUGGCGCGACCGUGUCUGGUGCCGCAGGGAAGCCGUGAAGCGAGCCACCUGGGAAGUACGGCCGCAAGGCUGAAACUUAAGGAUUGGCGGGGGAGCACCACAACAGGUGGAGCCUGCGGUUUAAUUGGACUCAACGCCGGGAAGCUCACCGGAUAGGACAGCAGAAAUGAUUGCCGGGCUGAAGACCCUGCAUGACUAGCUGAGAGGUGGUGCAUGGCGUAGACGU